GGGGGGGGGCAUAUGGACAGGGGGAAAAAAGCUCCAUUUUUUUUUAAAUCUGACAUUCAUUAGUAAUUAAGAGCAAAAUAAUCGCCCUAUAAGUUGCAUAAAGGAGGUGUUGUCUUUUUUUUUAAAAGUAUUUUUUAUGUUUUUUCUUGUAUAAAAUUGUGUUCUGUGUUUGUUGCUGAUAUAACCUGAUACUAAUUGGAUUUCAUCUGAGUGCACAAAAAGAGUAGUUUGACAUUGUACAUGUAACCUGCCUGUCAUUCAUCUAUCAAGUUGGAUAAGACUUUGUACAAUUAAUUUUUUUUUGGUUGUUGUUUCAAAUAGAACUAAUCAUUGAAUCAUUAUUUGUAUUGCUCAUUCUGUGUCUGCCUUCAUACUUUUCUUGUAUCAUGUGUUUACUUGACUUUACAUCAAUGUAUGUUUUUUGCUCUUGUAAUCUCUAAUGUGAUAUACAAUGCUGUACAGUGAAAAAGAUACAGAAUGCUCACUACACCUUACACCUUGUAAAGGUUGUUAGCAUUCUUUGUAGCAAAACAACCUUAUCUCUCAUUGGUUCUACCCCAGAAGGAUUAUUCUCAAAGUGUGAUUAAAAAAAAAAACAUGAAUAGAUAUGAUUAUUAAAAAAAACAUAGGUCUUCACAAUAGAUUAGCAUUAAGCAUUUCUUUGUAGACAUAAAGCCUAAAUUAUUUUUUUUCAGUUCUUCAAUUAUUCUUCUAUUUUUAUACUAGCAUUACACACCCGCUACACCCUUUGUUUCCAGACUGUGCACUGUUUAUUUUGGCUGGAACCUCCCAUACGUCAUUGAUUUUUUUUGUUUUUGUUUCCGCUUCCAAUAAAACAGCCCCCUUUAACAUACCUUUUAGCCAGUGAAUUCUAGUAACUGUUAUGUUGGAUUAAAUUGACCCGCCGUCGCUCUCCCCCAUCCUUUUUUUGUUUGUUUUACAUUCUCCUAUUAUUUUUAUAAUUUCAAAAGUACUAGUACUGGUAUGGUUUAGAAAUGUUUUCAUUUCUAGACAAUGAGCUGUUUAUUCAUUUCCGUAUUUAACAUUCAGAAGUAAACUAUCCAGUGUCAUUAAAAGAUUUAAGGAAAGAUUCAUUUUCCUUAUGUUUGGGAAGCUGCUUUUUUUUAAUUGUACACAGAUCAAUCAUAAUUUAUAUGGCUUCAUUUAUCUUGCUAUGGGGUUUUCUGGUUCAUUUGCUGAAGUAUGUUACUAAGGUUAUUCAUGUAUUCAAUUUUGUAGUUAUGGUAAGUUGGUGUGGUUGCAUAUGAUGAAAGAGCAGUUGUUUAGAACCAUUUCAUUUUAAAACUUGUUUUUCAUUGAAAGAUGUGUGCACCAAACAUUGGAAGUAUCUCAUUAGUUUGUUUCUUCACUGUUCAAGUUGUGGUCAGUGUGUAUAAGUUACUUUGUCAUAUGACUUGUGCCUACAGGGGACAUAAGGGGAAGUAACUUCCAUGCUGCAUAAAUGGCUUGGGGAUAAAGAAAAGAAAGGAGCAUUGUUAACUAAUUGGUUCUUAACAUUUAUUGAUCUUACUCUUGCAGAAAUGAAGCUCAGACUUGAUGAAAUGGAAACUAACUGAACACAUAAGGAUUCUUGAAGAACCACUUUACCUAACCAAUAGUUUGAACAGAGUAAUUGGCAUUAAAUUGAAGGACCACUACUUUAUUUUACUUUCACCUUUUUUUUUUAUAGUAGACUAAAUAUCAAGAAAUUUGCACAGGCAAUCAUCCUGGAUAUUAAAAACUUUUUUCCUCCCCCUUAAUUCUUAUAUUUAGAGAAACCAAAAGUGUUUUAAUAACAUUUUAGCUGGUUGUUAUGCUCAUUCUCUUUAGGCUGAAGUCCUUGGCCUCUGUUUCACCAACAAUUUUAUAAUCUUGAAAGGGGAUUUAAAAUAUAUAUAUAUACUUUUUGGAUGUAUAAAAGAUUUAGUCUGCUGCCAAAUCCUGUGUCAAAUAUUUAUGCACUGUAUUCUUGAAUGUUUUGAUCUUGAGUUUUAUUUCAUUUGAAAUCAAUUUCCUGCAACUGUAAUAAGUAUUUAGAUGUCAAGUAUAGAACUAUAAAAAAAGUCAUUAAGGAUAUCUACUGCACAAUAAAUUGGUACAGGCUUGUGAUUAGAGCAAAAUUGCUUUCUUAUUAGCAGAUAACGAUGGGGCAAUGCCUUGGUUUAAUAAUAUAAGUUGCUGAUUCUGCAUAAUGAUUUUCCUUUGCUGUGCCUAUUGUGUCUGCUAUAUCACAAAUACUGGUACCACAGGAGCAGAACUAUUAUUUGUCGAAAAUGAACUAAACUUGUCAAAACUGAAAGAAAAAAUAUAUUCUAAAUUCUUGUGAUAUUUCAAAUACCCUAAAGACUAUUUUGAUAUUUCAUAUAUAUAUAAUUAUUACAAAUAGUUACUAUACUCUUCCUACUUUAUAUAUUUGACAGGAAAAGUCAUUAGGAGUUAUUUAUUUAUUAGAAGUCUGCUAGAACAUAGCUUUGUACUUCAAUGCUACAUUAAAAAUGUCAUGUGACCUGAAGAAA